rnacentral:rRNA from 1 species
UACGUAGGGUGCGAGCGUUGUCCGGAAUUAUUGGGCGUAAAGGGCUCGUAGGCGGUUUGUCGCGUCGGGAGUGAAAACCUACAGCUUAACUGUGGGCUUGCUUUCGAUACGGGCAGACUAGAGGUAUGCAGGGGAGAACGGAAUUCCUGGUGUAGCGGUGAAAUGCGCAGAUAUCAGGAGGAACACCGGUGGCGAAGGCGGGUCUCUGGGCCGAUACUGACGCUGAGGAGCGAAAGCGUGGGGAGCGAACAGG